GGAUUGUGGCUCAGUGGCAGAGCACUUGCCUAGCAUGUGUGAGGCACUGGGUUUGAUUCUCAGCACCA
rnacentral:tRNA from 1 species